rnacentral:rRNA from 1 species
UUACACAUGACAAGUCGAACGGUAGAGGGGCAACCCUUGAGAGUGGCGAACGGUGAGUAAUAUAUCGGAACGUGCCCAGUCGUGGGGAUAACGUAGCGAAAGUUACGCUAAUACCGCAUACGAUCUAAGGAUGAAANCGGGGGAUCGCAAGACCUCGCGCGAUUGGAGCGGCCGAUAUCAGAUUAGGUAGUUGGUGAGGUAAAGGCUCACCAAGCCAACGAUCUGUAGCUGGUCUGAGAGGACGACCAGCCACACUGGAACUGAGACACGGUCCAGACUCCUACGGGAGGCAGCAGUGGGGAAUUUUGGACAAUGGACGCAAGUCUGAUCCAGCCAUUCCGCGUGCAGGAUGAAGGCCCUCGGGUUGUAAACUGCUUUUGUACGGAACGAAAAGGUUUCUAUUAAUACUAGGAGCUCAUGACGGUACCGUAAGAAUAAGCACCGGCUAACUACGUG